rnacentral:rRNA from 1 species
UUAGAGUUUGAUCCUGGCUCAGAUUGAACGCUAGCGGGAUGCCUUACACAUGCAAGUCGAACGGCAGCACGGACUUCGGUCUGGUGGCGAGUGGCGAACGGGUGAGUAAUGUAUCGGAACGUGCCCAGUAGCGGGGGAUAACUACGCGAAAGCGUAGCUAAUACCGCAUACGCCCUACGGGGGAAAGCAGGGGAUCGUAAGACCUUGCACUAUUGGAGCGGCCGAUAUCGGAUUAGCUAGUUGGUGGGGUAACGGCUCACCAAGGCGACGAUCCGUAGCUGGUUUGAGAGGACGACCAGCCACACUGGGACUGAGACACGGCCCAGACUCCUACGGGAGGCAGCAGUGGGGAAUUUUGGACAAUGGGGGAAACCCUGAUCCAGCCAUCCCGCGUGUGCGAUGAAGGCCUUCGGGUUGUAAAGCACUUUUGGCAGGAAAGAAACGUCAUGGGUUAAUACCCCGUGAAACUGACGGUACCUGCAGAAUAAGCACCGGCUAACUACGUGCCAGCAGCCGCGGUAAUACGUAGGGUGCAAGCGUUAAUCGGAAUUACUGGGCGUAAAGCGUGCGCAGGCGGUUCGGAAAGAAAGAUGUGAAAUCCCAGAGCUUAACUUUGGAACUGCAUUUUUAACUACCGGGCUAGAGUGUGUCAGAGGGAGGUGGAAU